rnacentral:rRNA from 1 species
GUUGGCCUACGGGGCGCAGCAGUGGGGAAUAUUGGGCAAUGGACGCAAGUCCGACCCAGCAACGCCGCGUGAAGGAAGAAGGCUUUCGGGUUGUAAACUUCUUUUAAGGGGGAAGAGCAGAAGACGGUACUCCUUGAAUAAGCCACGGCUAUCUACGUGCCAGCAGCCGCGGUAAUACGUGGGUGGCAAGCGUUGUCCGGAUUUACUGGGUGUAAAGGGCGUGCAGCCGGGA